ACCAACUGUUUUCCUUUUCUAAUCUUAAAAAGUAAUUUAUUUGAGUUAAAGGACUCUAGGGAUAAUUUGACCAAACGCACCCAAGCUAGGUCAUAAGGUAUUAUUAUUAUUUCUCAAGCAGUUAUCAUUAUUCUUUUAUUCUGAGGAGAAAAUAUCUGUCAUCUAUGUACUGAGUAACAAUAUGGAAUCCAGGAAUAACCGAGAGAAACAAGGAAAAGGCGUGGAGGAAUAAUUCUACGAUAGAUUUAAUAUGAACACAUGACGUAUAUUAUCUUUGAUCAUAAUAUAAACUACUCUUCAUACAUCAUAUUAAAUAAUAAGAAGAACACAAGAAGAAGGGGAGAAGAGGAUAAAAGUCAUGGGCGUCUCGAAUACCUGUACAACAGACUAGAAAACGCACGCUCCAAGGGAUGGCUUAGUAGAAGUUCACAAAUAUGUUAGAUUUUUAAUAAAAAUACAUUAAUACAGUUUUUCUAUACAGAUUGUAUGAGUUAAAAUCCAUAAAUAUUUAUAUAUAAUAAGAA
rnacentral:lncRNA from 1 species